rnacentral:rRNA from 1 species
GACGAACGCUGGCGGCGUGCUUAACACAUGCAAGUCGAACGGAAAGGCCCUGCUUUUGUGGGGUGCUCGAGUGGCGAACGGGUGAGUAACACGUGAGUAACCUGCCCUUGACUUUGGGAUAACUUCAGGAAACUGGGGCUAAUACCGGAUAGGAGCUCCUGCUGCAUGGUGGGGGUUGGAAAGUUUCGGCGGUUGGGGAUGGACUCGCGGCUUAUCAGCUUGUUGGUGGGGUAGUGGCUUACCAAGGCUUUGACGGGUAGCCGGCCUGAGAGGGUGACCGGCCACAUUGGGCCUGAGGUACGGCCCAGACUCCUACGGGGGGCAGCAGUGGGGAAUAUUGCACAAUGGGCGGAAGCCUGAUGCAGCAACGCCGCGUGCGGGAUGACGGCCUUCGGGUUGUAAACCGCUUUCGCCUGUGACGAAGCGUGAGUGACGGUAAUGGGUAAAGAAGCACCGGCUAACUACGUG